rnacentral:rRNA from 1 species
AUUGAACGCUGGCGGCAGGCCUAACACAUGCAAGUCGAACGCGUGGCGGACGGGUGAGUGAUGUCUGGGAAACUGCCCGAUGGAGGGGGGUAACUACUGGAGACGGUGUCUAAUACCGCAUACCAUCUGAUGUGCCCAGAGGGGAUUAGCUUGUAGGGGAGGUAACGGCUCACCUAGGCGACGAUCCCUAGCUGGUCUGAGAGGAUGACCAGCCACACUGGAACUGAGACACGGUCCAGACUCCUACGGGAGGCAGCAGUGGGGAAUAUUGCACAAUGGGCGCAAGCCUGAUGCAGCCAUGCCGCGUGUAUGAAGAAGGCCUUCGGGUUGUAAAGUACUUUCAGCGGGGAGGCGUUACCCGCAGAAGAAGCACCGGCUAACUCCGUGCCAGCCGCCGCGGUAAUAC